GAGUUAGGAGUUUCUGGGUUAUCCCUUGAUGAAUCUGGGGUUUGGGAUCCUGACUUCGUCACUGCAGCAAAUUUCAGGUUUGUCAUAAGUCCCCCUAUUAGUGCAUCUGGACAUGAUAAGGCCCUUUCAAGCUGCCCUUUAAACAGGAAUUCUACAGGUUCCUACCAAUCAUAACCGCUGGGACCGUAAAGACACUUAAAGAGACUGUGACUUUCACUUAGGGAUUUUUUUUGUUUUUUUGAUGAAAGGGAGUUUUUUUGUUGUUGAUAGAUGUGAGUUAGGGAAUUCAAUUAUCUGUUUUUUUUUUUUUUUUUUCGAAUUUAAAAUUAUGCCGACAUUUUAUAAAAUAAAAUUAAAAAUGCUGACAUAUUAGUCCAGGUGUUGGCAAUUUUUUA